UAAAAGUUAUUUGAAUGUGAUCUCUCUCAAAAUAUUUCACCAUGCUGUACUCACUUUCUUCCUGUGAUGAUGUGAGAAGAUAAAAUGCCUAUGGGAUGAGAUGAAUUGAAUGAAAGCUAUAGGCAUUGUGACGUAGCAUGAGGCUGUUGUGACUUUCUGGUAUGUCAGAAGGACCAUCUUCUUCUGGACGGUGGCUGACUGCUAGAGACUGAAACCGUGGAAAGCAAAACCGUGGACAAGGAGGAUCUACUGCAUUGACAGAGCAGCCACAUAGGACAGUGGACCAUGUCCUUUACCUUGACACGAUUUUAAUCAUAGAUACAGGAAUGGAUUUCCCUUAUUGUAAAACUGCAAUGCAGGGGAAGCAAGUCUGUGAAGGGCUUAGAUAGAGCUCACGGAGGCUGAAGGAUGAAGUGAAGGGAAGUGAGCUGCUGGUUUUCUUUGGUCUUUUAUCAAUGUUUUGGACACGAACCUUCUUUGGAAACAAACCUACUAUGGUCCAGGUCCAGCUGGCAUACAACGUACUGUCUGUUCAGGAGAAAAUGAUGUGUAAAUCAGGGAAGAAUAAAGAAUGGAAGUAUUUGGGGAAAACAUUAGACAUCUUUGAAAAGAUCCACCAUUCUGGGCCAGCAAAGAGAAGCCAAAGGUGAAGUUAAGGAUGCAGUUAUUAUACAGCUACUUUGAGCUUCUCCUAAUAAAGCACAUGGCAAAUAUUCAGGGAUAUAUCUGGGUCUAUUGUGGGUUGACUGUGUCCUUCAAAAAGAUACUUUGAAGUCCUAACCCUGGUACCUGGGACAGUGAUCUUAUUUGGAAAUAGGGUCUUUGCAGCUGUAAUCAAGUUAAGAU